GAAUACCUACUAGACCGUCUAACCAGCGUGUCUGAGAGUUGCGUAGCCAUACGUAUAGGUAUUCUCUCCUAAUUUAGGGGUUUGAAGACUGGGUCUAGCUUAAUAGCGGAUAAAUUGUAACUUCCAGUAAAAUGGCGAACAUG
rfam:Cucumber leaf spot virus, complete genome.